rnacentral:tRNA from 1 species
GGAGGGGUGGCAGAGUGGUCGAAUGCACCGGUCUUGAAAACCGGCAUACCGCAAGGUAUCGUGGGUUCGAAUCCCACCCCCUCUGCCA